GGGUGAGUAACACGUGAGCAACCUGCCCUGGACUCUGGGAUAAGCGCUGGAAACGGCGUCUAAUACUGGAUAUGAGCCUCUUCCGCAUGGUGGGGGUUGGAAAGAUUUUUUGGUCUGGGAUGGGCUCGCGGCCUAUCAGCUUGUUGGUGAGGUAAUGGCUCACCAAGGCGUCGACGGGUAGCCGGCCUGAGAGGGUGACCGGCCACACUGGGACUGAGACACGGCCCAGACUCCUACGGGAGGCAGCAGUGGGGAAUAUUGCACAAUGGGCGGAAGCCUGAUGCAGCAACGCCGCGUGAGGGAUGACGGCCUUCGGGUUGUAAACCUCUUUUAGCAGGGAAGAAGCGAAAGUGACGGUACCUGCAGAAAAAGCGCCGGCUAACUACGUGCCAGCAGCCGCGGUAAUACGUAGGGCGCAAGCGUUAUCCGGAAUUAUUGGGCGUAAAGAGCUCGUAGGCGGUUUGUCGCGUCUGCUGUGAAAUCCCGAGGCUCAACCUCGGGCCUGCAGUGGGUACGGGCAGACUAGAGUGCGGUAGGGGAGAUUGGAAUUCCUGGUGUAGCGGUGGAAUGCGCAGAUAUCAGGAGGAACACCGAUGGCGAA
rnacentral:rRNA from 1 species